UACGGAGGGGGCGAGCGUUAUUCGGAAUUAUUGGGCGUAAAGGGCGCGUAGGCGGCUUGACAAGUCAAAGGUGAAAUCCCUCGGCUCAACUGAGGAACUGCCUUUGAAACUGUCUGGCUUGAGGCCGGGAGGGGGUAGCGGAAUUCCCAGUGUAGCGGUGAAAUGCGUAGAUAUCGGGAGGAACACCAGUGGCGAAGGCGACUACCUGGCCUGUUCUUGACGCUGAGGCGCGAAAGCUAGGGGAGCAAACGGG
rnacentral:rRNA from 1 species